rnacentral:rRNA from 1 species
GACGAACGCUGGCGGCGUGCUUAACACAUGCAAGUCGAACGGAAAGGCCCUGCUUUUGUGGGGUGCUCGAGUGGCGAACGGGUGAGUAACACGUGAGUAACCUGCCCUUGACUUUGGGAUAACUUCAGGAAACUGGGGCUAAUACCGGAUAGGAUCUCCUGCUGCAUGGUGGGGGUUGGAAAGUUUCGGCGGUUGGGGAUGGACUCGCGGCUUAUCAGCUUGUUGGUGGGGUAGUGGCUUACCAAGGCUUUGACGGGUAGCCGGCCUGGGAGGGUGACCGGCGACAUUGGGACUGAGAUACGGCGCAGACUCGUACGGGAGGCAGCAGUGGGGAGUAUUGCACAAUGGGCGGAAGCCUGAUGCAGCAACGCCGGGUGCGGGAUGACGGCCUUCGGGUUGUAAACCGCUUUCGACUGUGACGAAGCGUGAGUGACGGUAAUGGGUAAAGAAGCACCGGCUAACUACGUG